UAGUCCGUAGCUCAGAUGGUCAGAGCGUAGCGCAAGCUGAGGUCGUGGGUUCGACUCCUGCCUUGCUAU
rfam:Phanerochaete carnosa HHB-10118-sp unplaced genomic scaffold PHACAscaffold_1014, whole genome shotgun sequence.